rnacentral:misc_RNA from 1 species
AUAAUUGUUGCAUGUUUGAUGACUGAUUGUGUUUUGUAUUUCAAUCUUUCAUUCUAAUUCAUUGUCUGCAGAGCCAAGCAUCAUUAUUAGGGAUUUUUGAGCUUGCACCAAAUAUUUUGCAGGGCUGAGCAUUGAGAAUUGUCAUUAGACUUAGCCAUAUUACAUUGUUAUGUGUUUGGUAAUUGAUUAUGUUUCUUUCAUUUUAGCUUAAUGUUCAAAUUUCCCACGGCUUUUCAGCGAAAGAAGAAAGGAACUGCUGGCUUUUCAACCAGCACUGAUAUCAAACAAAAUCCAACAGAAGUCCCAAAUCCUUAUCAUGUUGCUGUCAAGUAACUUGUAGAACUAAUGCCAUUUCCCCAUAUAUAUGUGGAACACAUCCAAAUAAAAUCCAAUUAGUUAAGCCUUCAAUGAAAAGAUAUUUUUAUCUUCUUAUAAAACCAUAGAAUGAGGCUAAGUCAAGCGUUUCAAAGAUAGCGGAAGACUUACCAGUCAUCACAUAUUCAGGGGCAGCAUAACCAUAAGUACCCAUCACUCGAGUUGAC